GCGAGUGUAGCAUAGUGGUAAUGCGCUGCCUUGCCAAGGCAGUUAGGAGGGUUCGAUUCCCUCCACUCGCUCCA
rnacentral:tRNA from 1 species